rnacentral:rRNA from 1 species
ACGUACUCCGUGCCAGCAGACGGGGUAAUGCUGGGGGGGCGUGCGUUGUACGGAAUUACUGGGCGUAAAGCGAACGUAGGCGGCUUUGUAAGUUAGAGGUGAAAGCCCGGGGCUCAACUCCGGAAUUGCCUUUAAGACUGCAUCGCGAGAAUGGUGGAGAGGUAAGUGGAAUUCCGAGUGUAGAGGUGAAAUUCGUAGAUAUUCGGAAGAACACCAGUGGCGAAGGCGACUUACUGGACACAUAUUGACGCUGAGGUGCGAAAGCGUGGGGAGCAAACAGGAUUAGAUACCCCGGUAGUC